rnacentral:rRNA from 2 species
GUACCCGCGGCAAGACGGAAAGACCCCGUGAACCUUUACUAUAGCUUGACACUGAACAUUGAGCCUUGAUGUGUAGGAUAGGUGGGAGGCUUUGAAGUGUGGACGCCAGUCUGCAUGGAGCCGGCCUUGAAAUACCACCCUUUAAUGUUUGAUGUUCUAACGUGGACCCGUGAUCCGGGUUGCGGACAGUGUCUGGUGGGUAGUUUGACUGGGGCGGUCUCCUCCUAAAGAGUAACGGAGGAGCACGAAGGUUGGCUAAUCCUGGUCGGACAUCAGGAGGUUAGUGCAAUGGCAUAAGCCAGCUUGACUGCGAGCGUGACGGCGCGAGCAGGUGCGAAAGCAGGUCAUAGUGAUCCGGUGGUUCUGAAUGGAAGGGCCAUCGCUCAACGGAUAAAAGGUACUCCGGGGAUAACAGGCUGAUACCGCCCAAGAGUUCAUAUCGACGGCGGUGUUUGGCACCUCGAUGUCGGCUCAUCACAUCCUGGGGCUGAAGUAGGUCCCAAGGGUAUGGCUGUUCGCCAUUUAAAGUGGUACGCGAGCUGGGUUUAGAACGUCGUGAGACAGUUCGGUCCCUAUCUGCCGUGGGCGCUGGAGAACUGAGGGGGGCUGCUCCUAGUACGAGAGGACCGGAGUGGACGCAUCACUGGUGUUCGGGUUGUCAUGCCAAUGGCACUGCCCGGUAGCUAAAUGCGGAAGAGAUAAGUGCUGAAAGCAUCUAAGCACGAAACUUGCCCCGA